rnacentral:rRNA from 1 species
AACGAACGCUGGCGGCAUGCCUAACACAUGCCAGUCGAACGAGACCUUCGGGUCUAGUGGCGCACGGGUGCGUAACGCGUGGGAACCUGCCCUUAGGUUCGGAAUAACUCCCCGAAAGGGGUGCUAAUACCGGAUAAUGUCUUCGGACCAAAGAUUUAUCGCCUUUGGAUGGGCCCGCGUUGGAUUAGCUAGUUGGUAGGGUAAAAGCCUACCAAGGCGACGAUCCAUAGCUGGUCUGAGAGGAUGAUCAGCCACACUGGGACUGAGACACGGCCCAGACUCAUACGGGAGAAAGCGGGGGGGAAUAUUGAACAAGGGGCAAAACCUUAAACAAAAAAUGCGGGGUGAGUAAGAAAGCCUUAGGGGUUGAAAAGCUUUUUUACCGGGGAUGAAAAGAAGAUAACGGGGAAAAUAGGCUCGGACAAGCCCGGUG